rnacentral:rRNA from 1 species
CCUACGGGCGGCAGCAGUGGGGAAUAUUGGACAAUGGGGGGAACCCUGAUCCAGCGACGCCGCGUGAGUGAAGAAGUAUUUCGGUAUGUAAAGCUCUAUCAGCAGGGAAGAAAGAAAUGACGGUACCUGACUACGAAGCUCCGGCUAACUACGUGCCAGCAGCCGCGGUAACACGUAGGGGGCAGGCGUAAUCCGGAUGUACUGGGUGUAAAGGGAGCGUAGACGGCGAUGCAAGUCUGAAGUGAAAGGCGGGGGCCCAACCCCCGGACUGCUUUGGAAACUGUAUGGCUGGAGUGCGGGAGAGGUGGGUGGAAUGCGUGGUGUAGCGGUGAAAUGCGUAGAUAUUAGAAAGAACACCAGUUGCGAAGGCGGCUUACUGGACUGUAACUGACGUUGAGGCUCGAAAGCGUGGGGAGCAAACAGGAUUAGAUACCCGGGUAGUC